GACGAACGCUGGCGGCGUGCCUAAUACAUGCAAGUCGAGCGAACAGAUGAGGAGCUUGCUCCUCUGACGUUAGCGGCGGACGGGUGAGUAACACGUGGAUAACCUACCUAUAAGACUGGGAUAACUUCGGGAAACCGGAGCUAAUACCGGAUAAUAUAUUGAACCGCAUGGUUCAAUAGUGAAAGACGGUUUUGCUGUCACUUAUAGAUGGAUCCGCGCCGCAUUAGCUAGUUGGUAAGGUAACGGCUUACCAAGGCAACGAUGCGUAGCCGACCUGAGAGGGUGAUCGGCCACACUGGAACUGAGACACGGUCCAGACUCCUACGGGAGGCAGCAGUAGGGAAUCUUCCGCAAUGGGCGAAAGCCUGACGGAGCAACGCCGCGUGAGUGAUGAAGGUCUUCGGAUCGUAAAACGCUGUUAUUAGGGAAGAACAAAUGUGUAAGUAACGAUGCACGUCUUGACGGUACCUAAUCAGAAAGCCACGGCUAACUACGU
rnacentral:rRNA from 1 species